rnacentral:lncRNA from 1 species
GGGAGUUCACUGGUGAUUUGGCUUUCUGUCUGUCUAUUAUUGGUGUAUACGUAUGCUUAUGGGUUAUGCUCAUUGAUUUUGUAUCCUGAGACUUUGCUGAAAUUGCUUCUCAGCUUAAGGAGAUUUUGGACUGAGACGAUGGGAUUUUCUAAAAAUACAAUUAUGUCAUUCAGCUUUUAAGAUUCAUCUGCUUUUAAGAUUCAUCAUUGGAAUCCUGGAUUUGAAAGAAAAUGAAGAAUUCACUAAAGGUUCCCAUUUGUAGAUUUGAGAUGGCAGAAGAAAAUAAAAAUCACCAAACUUGAAGGCAAUUUUCAACCACUUGCAGUUAAACAAAGUCACAAGACUAGGUCUUGGCAACGGGAUAUGUGAGGAAGUGAUGUGAAUUCCUGGCCAAAGCAUAGAAGUGCAGAGGCAAGACCAUCCAGGUGACUCUUGCGAAGCAUCAGCUAUGGAGGCAAUGUGGUCCACGACACUUGUGACAGGAUUUCUGCACAAGAUGGUGCCUGAUGGGAAUCUUUACAAAGGACCUUGAAGCAGUCCCUGUGACAGCCCUAGAACAACAGAUAAAAAGUCUGACUACUCUGAGACCAUCAUACUGGAGAGGCCAAAAUAGGCUUUUUAGUUGACAGUGCCAGCCUUCCAGCCAUCCCUGCCAAGUCAUCAGGCAUGCAAGUAAAACCAUAUUGAAACCUAUAGACCAGCCAAUUCAUCAGCUGACUACACUACCAACUGACCUCAGUCAACACAGAACAGAAGAAUCACCCAGUGGGGUCCUGCUUGAAUUCUGCAUCUACAAAAUUGUGAACAAAAUAAAAUGAUUAUUGUUUUAAGCCACU